CAUGAAAGAAGAAGCCACAGCCUCUGGAUUAGGGACCCCAGCCCAAGAAAAGGGCAAAGGGGGUCUCAGAGCAGACCGGAGAGGAGGAAGCCAGACCGAGCCCACCUGGACAGAAGGGGGGACCGGGCGAGAAGAGCCCGUAGAGGGAGUGGCCUGUGUGAAUAAUGACAGACAUUGCCAGACCUCUGGCAGAUCCUGCAAAGAGACCGGGACAAAUCGCAGGUCUUGCUAUGCAUUCCAGGCUGGCCUUGAAUUCAUGGCAUUCCUCCUGCCUCAGCCUCCCCAGCGCUGGGAAUACAGGUGUGUAUCACCCUGUCCAGCUCUAAAAAAUGCUUUUAAUGGAGAGGCCAUGAAGCUAAGAUGGCCCCAGCCUUUCAGCUCCUCAGAGUCAGACAGCACCCAGAUGUAAACAAUCAAAACCAGAGGUGGAAGCAAUCGGAAACCACCAAGCCACCUCUACUCGGGGACUGUCCACAGAUCAGACCCAGUAAGGCAAAGUUCCACUCAGGAGCUCAUGCAGGGUUUUCUCUCUUCUGCUCCCUAGCUUGGCUGCUAUAGCCCAGCCCUGGACCUCUUCUGAUUCUGGGUGCUGCCUGAUACCUGAAUCAUUCUGCCCUCAAAUUAACUCUGUUGAGUUUAUUUUGUCUAAAGUAUGUUGCUGUUGUUGUUAAUACCUUAUCUGUAAACUGGAAACAACUACACGAACUUCACCCAGUCCACAAGAAUUAAAUGAAAAAUCACAACUGAAUCACUUAGCAAAGUACCCAGCAGAGAGUUAAUGCUCACAAAUACUGUUAGUACAAAUCUUUGUUCUGUAUAACGGCCCAGCAUGCCAUACCGGGCUUUGUUCUGUAUAACUGCCCAGGAUGCCAUACCGGGCUCAACAGUUUGGGGGGUGCUUAUUCCACAGUCCUCUCUGCUGGAUCCAAGUUCUAAGGUUCUCUGGUUGCCCUCUCCUGCCCCAGGUUCUCACCACCCAAGCUCCCUUGGGCCCAAGUUGAACCAACUUCCUGCUCCUUGCAGCCCAAGUCCCCUUACCCACUGACACCCCCGCCCCCAGCCCCGGCACCAGGCAGGGAAGGAAGGACCCAGCUCCUGUGCAGUCGCCCCGCUUGCUUGCUGUGGCCUUGAGCAGUGCUCUGGAAGUCUCUUCUUCACCUCCUCAUGGAGAGCGGGGCAGGUUGCACAUACGCGCACUCCCAACACUCCGGGAGGCUGAGGCCGGAGGAUCGAAGCCAAGUCCCCUUCUUGUGAAUCUGCCCCAUCCCAGGAGUAGAAAUGAGUCUCUCCAGCAGCAGCUGUUCCAUACCUGAGCAUCAUUCCCUUCCCUUCGAGGAUCCCCCAGGAUGGUGCCUGUGGGGGUCUCCUCCGCCCCUUCCCUCAUGCUGACCUGAGGCCAUUCCCCCAGCACCACCUUCUCUCUGGCUUCUCUCUACACAGCCAACCCCUGGCCGCCCUCGGGCACCCCGUGGGUGUCACUUUGUCCAGGACAGCUCUCGGUGCCAUGGCAGCACUGCACUGGCACCAGGGGCUGGGCUGGGAGUCGGGUGCAGAGGGGAGAGAGGAGGUCCCGGAUCUGCCAGAGCACAGUGCAGAAGCCAAGGUGACAGAGGAAGAGGAGCCCCAGGUACUGCACACGCUCAGGGAACCCAGCCUAAGCCCAGGAGGCCCUGGAACUGGCACGUGGGGGUCACGGGUGCCUGGCCUGGAGCAAGGCCCCGUGUGGCCUCCUGUAAAGGAAGCUGUCACAGAGGAGCAGUCUGCAGGGUCCCUGGCAGUCAGCUGGCAGCAGCAAAUCUCCAAAGCCAGCGCCAACUCAGCUGGCGGUGCAGGCCCAGCCUGGGGGAGGAGGGGUCACAGGACCUGGUGGCGGGCAGACAGCACCAGCCCUGGCUCUCCGAGGAGGCGGCAGAGAAAGUGCCCAGGACGGGAUCCGUGCAGGCUCGAGGUGAACACGCAACAGGCCACUCAGCAUCUCCCACGUUUCUUUGCAGUGGGAAUUCGGGCUUGACAGCACCGGCCCAGACUUCCUGGUUUAGAGAUCAGUCAGUUCCGGCAGCGACAGGGCUCCAGGUGCCUGUUUCCCUAAAGUGCUCCAAAUGGAUGAGACGUGUGGGACUCUGCGUGAAGGGGCAGGAAAGGGCUGUUUACAUCCACACCUGCUCGGCCCACCUGCCCUACAGACUCACGCUAUCAAAUGUUUUCUAGUUGCUAUGACAAUCAAAUCACAGAGCCAGUAUUUGUUAUUGUUCCAGAGGGAAAAAAAGGAAGGACGGUACUGUGAGGCCCAAGUUCAUGUGUCAGUGGGCAGCUGAGUCACCCUGCCAUGGUCUGCCGAGUCCCAGAGCCAUUUUCCUAGGGUCUGAGACUCACACCUGCCACCCCUCUUCCCCAAGAGGAUGGUCCCCUGUCCGAGUCUUUCAACAAGCCCAGGUGGCAGACACCCCGGCCUGAGGACCACCAGCAGCCUGCAGGUGGGCAGCGAAGUCACCCAUGAGGACUCUGCCCUGCCCCAUGGAGUGGCAACUACCAGGCACUGCUGAGACCUCUUUCCUGAGUAUCUUUAGUUACACUGCUGCAACUGCCUCCAGGUCCUGAAUCCAUUCAAAACAUUUACCUUCCACGGUCAUUUUGACCUUGGGGAAAGACAGACUUUGCAGGGUGCCAGAUGCAGUGGCUAAGUGAGGGGAGGCACACCCUAAUUGCCUUUCUGUCGGAGGGCACUCAUCAGCAGUUUUCACAUCUCAUGAAGACGCUUAGGAAAGAGGACUCUAGAACUGCUCCAGAAAGUGGCCAGAACAGUGGGCUGAGUGUGUUCAAGGGGAAUUAAUGGCAGUGUAUCUUUUCCCAUGAUACAUUUUUGAAAUUGAAACCUCCACCAUGUACCUUGAUCACCUUGUAUUUCAUAGAUGGUUUCUAGAGUUGCCUAGCACUCGGCUGGCUCUGCGAGGGCCAAGCCACUUGAGUUCUCCAAGCCUCUGCCUCCUUGUGCACAACAGAGGGGAAGUAACACCACCUCAACAGAUUGCUCUGGGGAAGAAAGGCAAAAGCGCCAAUCAAGUGUUUACAUGGUACCUAGUUGCUAUGGUUUAUAUCUAGAUGUCCACAAGAGCACAUAGGCGAGGCUUUUGGAAGUUGAUUGUAUCAUGGGUCUUAUAGCUGACUUGCUGUUGGAGGAGGGGCCUGGACAGAAGAGGCGGCUCCCUGUGUGUGCCCAGGAAAGGUUCUACCUCCCUCCGGCUCCUUGCUCAACACCCUCUGCUUCCUGGAUACCUUGAUUCGAGCAGCUGUUCCCCUGCCAGGGCCCUCUUCCAUGCUGUCCUGCCUUGGAGCCAACGGACUACAGACUGAAACCUCUACAAACAUAAGCCAAAAUAAACCUCUGCUCCCACUAGUUGUAGGUGUUGGAUAUGAGAAAGUACUGAAGACACUAGCACGGUGCAAAGCACUCAGUACAUCAAUACAUGCCCACUGAGGUGGUGGCUGAUUGGCGGGACCCUGGGCAAAGGCCUCUGGACGGCUGGAAGGUGAGGCAGAGGGAGCUCCUGCUCCCCCAGAUACACACGGGGCAGGCAGGGGAGGCUGUGCCAAACGCAGCUGUCCCGGGCUUAGUCUGCUUUCUGUUGCUAUCACAAAAUACCUGAGACCAGGUAAUUUAUAAAGAAUGGAAGUUUAUUUGGCUCACAGUUCUGGAGGCUGGAAAGUCCAGAAGCACAGCACUAGGGUCUCCCCAGAGUCCAGUGAGGGCCUCUUACUGCAUACAACACGUGGUGAGGCAGAGCAGCCUCGAGUGGCGUUUCUCUUCCUCUUCUUACAAAGCCACUCAUGCACUGUGGGCUCCUUCUUCUCCUGGUGGCAGCUAAUAUAAUCCUCCAAACACCUUAACAUAUGGAUUUGAGGACUAAGUUUCCAACACACGAGCUCAGCCAUGGUGACCCCCUUCCACCUCCACAAACUUGACCUGAGAGGCUUCCAUGGCUCAGACCCGGAAGGGAAGCAGACAAGAGAUCCAGCAGUGAGCAGGGCGGGAGGACAAGGAGAGGCUUUGAGGCCCUCUGGGAGGAUCCUGAAGCGGUGCCUAGGACACCCAGGUGUGGGGCAGGUGCCUCGGGCUCCUAGUUACCCCUCACACCAGGGCUGUGCCAGGGGCACCUUCUGAGGACAGCUGGCUUUCUGGGUCGACUUCCCUGGAGAAAGGGUGUGGAUGGGCGUGGCUCGGGCCGAGGGGCUAAGCCAGAUCGCUGGGGUUUAUGCCCAGGGUGUGGUGUGAGCCAUUCAUGACUGGGAGGCUUCUAACCAUUUCUAGACCUACACGUGGAAAGCCAGCCCCGGGAAAGGCCUGACCGCCAUGGG
ensembl:lncRNA